rnacentral:rRNA from 1 species
UACGAAGGGGGCUAGCGUUGCUCGGAAUUACUGGGCGUAAAGGGCGCGUAGGCGGACAGUUUAGUCAGAGGUGAAAGCCCAGGGCUCAACCUUGGAACUGCCUUUGAUACUGACUGUCUUGAGUUCGGGAGAGGUGAGUGGAAUGCCGAGUGCAGAGGUGAAAUUCGUAGAUAUUCGGCGGAACACCAGUGGCGAAGGCGACUCACUGGCCCGAUACUGACGCUGAUGCGCGAAAGCGUGGGGAGCAAACGGG